rnacentral:rRNA from 1 species
UGGGGAAUAUUGCACAAUGGGGGAAACCCUGAUGCAGCGACGCCGCGUGAGUGAAGAAGUAUUUCGGUAUGUAAAGCUCUAUCAGCAGGGAAGAAAAUGACGGUACCUGACUAAGAAGCCCCGGCUAACUACGUGCCAGCAGCCGCGGUAAUACGUAGGGGGCAAGCGUUAUCCGGAUUUACUGGGUGUAAAGGGAGCGUAGACGGCGCGGCAAGUCUGAAGUGAAAGGCAGGGGCUUAACCCCUGAACUGCUUUGGAAACUGCCAUGCUAGAGUGCUGGAGAGGUAAGUGGAAUUCCUAGUG